GCGAAGGUGGCGGAAUUGGUAGACGCGCUAGCUUCAGGUGUUAGUGUUCUUACGGACGUGGGGGUUCAAGUCCCCCCCCNNUCGCACCA
rnacentral:tRNA from 1 species